UGUGUACUCCCUCCGUUCCAAAAUACUUGACUUCCAUUUGUCCAAAAAUGGAUGUACCUAUAUACUAAGACAUGUCUAGAUACAUAUAUAUUUUGACGAAUAGAAGGCAUGUAUUGUGCAACGGAGGGAGUAGAAU
rfam:Triticum aestivum genome assembly, contig: Triticum_aestivum_CS42_TGACv1_scaffold_485296_6AS